CAAUAGCGUAUAUUAAAGUUGUUGCAGUUAAAAUGCUCGUAGUUGAAUGUUUGCGUGAGCGUUGACGUAUACUCGCUUAGGCAGGUUACGUCCAAUGCUUUGCAGUGGGUUGAUGUUGCACUUCCUUCGGUGGGAGGCGAGUCUACCCGUUUUACUUUGAGAAACUUAGGGUGUUCCAAGCAUGUCUUCGCAUAUAUAUUCCAGCAUGGAAUAAAGUGGUACGACUUCGGCUCUGCCUUUUGGUUCGCAGGACUGGAGUAAUGGUUAAUAGGGACAGUCGGGGGCAUUGGUAUUUUAACUGUCAGAGGUGAAAUUCUUAGAUUUGUUAAGGACUAUCUACUGCGAAAGCAUUUGCCAAGGAUGUCUCCAUUAA
rnacentral:rRNA from 1 species